GUUUAUGGCACUGUUCCCGCGCCUAUUGUCUCAUUACUCCCUGGAAUCAAGAUGGAUACCAAGGCUGUCAGAAUGUGUGGCCGUCCGAUAAAACUGUUUUCUCAUCAUGAAAGUUGAAUUUACUCAAUGGAAACGAGCUACGGAGAAAGAAGAGGUACAGGAGCUGGCGUGAAGGCAAGAGUGAGAUGUGAGAGAGGCAACGGAGGACUCAUCUGGACAUUCAAUCAACAGGCUACGUGUCCAUACUUAGGUGACAGGCUGGUGGGCUGUGCCGGACUGUAACUUUACGACAUCAUCAACUGCCAAAUUCGGAGGAUGGUCCUAUUGACCAUGAUCUCUCCCGUAAUGUUAAGCUACGACUGCUCCGGAGUAGAGUGUGCAGGCUUUUGCUACUAGAAGUGCAUAGAGACAUGACCUGCCGCCUGCGUGGCUGAGAUAGAUCAUCCCAGAUGCAGCGGUCACACCUCCUGGCUCUGGGCUACCGAGCUACCACACCAAGACCCCUCUCAUCCAAACCACCAGUAUGUACUGUAGGCCUUCAAUGUACAGAUCAUGCAUGUGUGUUUUAGGCAUAGUGUAGGUCCUAUUCUCUGACUGAAAGUGUGCAGAAAUUGCGCAUUUAGUUAACAGUAUUUACAACAUUUUCAUGGGAGUGACACCCCAGACCCCCACUAAGUUUUAGGCUAUGCCUUGAAUGUGGGGAAAGCGCACCAUGUGAGAAAAUUGUAACGAAAACAAUGCAUUUAGAACGCGCUUACAGUAUAUAAUAGGUUAAGUGCCACAGUAAACGACAAGGGUAUAGGGCCCGUUGGCACAGUGUCACACCCAACCCUGUCUCUAAGAGCUUUGCACAAAACUUCCUAUGCCUAAAUUCCUAUCCUAUAGUAUCUGCAUGUACAAAUGGUUAAUAAAAUCUCUUGAAUCUUG